rnacentral:rRNA from 1 species
GGCUAACGCUGGCGGCGUGUCUUAGCCAUGCAAGUCGAGCGGACUUAUGGGGUAACUUAUAAGUCAGCGGCGGACGGCGGAGUAACACGUAGUUAACCUACCCUCUGGACGGGGAUAACCUACCGAAAGGUGGGCUAAUACCCGAUGUAGUCAUCCUGUAUAGGGGUGAUGAAAGGUGGGCUUCUGUUUACAAGCUCAUGCUGGAGGAGGGGGCUGCGGCCUAUCAGGUAGUUGGUAGGGUAAUAGCCUACCAAGCCGAUGACGGGUAGCCGGCCUGAGAGGGUGACCGGCCCGAGGGGCACUGAGAUACGGGUCCCACUCCUACGGGAGGCAGCAGGCUAGAAAUUUGGGCAAUGGGGGAAACCCUGACCCAGUGACGCCGCGUGCAGGAAGGAGCCCUUCGGGGUGUAAACUGCUGUCGUGUAGGGAGAAGGGUACUAAGGUGAACAAUCUUAGUACUUGACGGUACUACAGGAGGAAGCCCAGGCUAACCUCGUGCCAGCAGCCGCGGGUAACUAUAGCGUAACU